rnacentral:tRNA from 1 species
GGAGGGGUUCCCGAGUGGCCAAAGGGGACGGGCUGUAAACCCGUUGGCUCUGCCUUCGGAGGUUCGAAUCCUCCCCCCUCCACCA